GCCGACUUAGCUCAGUGGUAGAGCAUUCGCUUUGUAAGCGACAGGUCCGGGGUUCAAAUCCCCGAGUCGGCU
rnacentral:tRNA from 1 species